GAUAACAAUCAAAUGAUAGAAAACGUUUAUAAAUAUUCUAUAGGUUUGUAACUUUCUACACAAUUUAUUCAUUCAUUCAAAUUCCGGUUACUCAUUUAGGUAUUGGAGAGAGAAAUCGAAAUUCCCUCCCGAUAUUCCCGUUCUUGUAGGUAUUGAAGCAUGGAGUUCUUCCUGACGAUGUCGGGCACUCCCAUCAUUGGCACCAUACGUAGCUUAAACGGCAAGCGUCAAAGGACAUCCUCGCGGCAAUUCCCGGCCAAGCUCGGCUCUUGUGGCGGUUACGUGGUCAAGCGUUAUAAAGAGCAUUCAGGAGCAGCAGUUCGACCGUCUUUGGAAGAAAUUUUGGAGAAGAUCCAACUUGCAUCGGGAUGAAAGACAAUGGUGGAUCAAGAAGCCAACAGGUGCCAGGAAAGAGGUCAGGAAGGCCAAGUGGAGCAGAAUCGAAAAGAACUCGAGAUGGAGGAUACCGAUGGAGCAAUCCUCACCAAACCUACCUAUAAAUGAGGAGUUGGCAAAUGGACAUGAAGGACGAAGACAAAUUUGUUGUCGGGGCCACAUGCCCUAGUCACAGAAUUCACUGCUGUUUAUCAGCAAAAUGACGUCGCCCUUCAACAUCCCGAAAGUUUUCGCCACUGGACCCGUUCUCAAUCCCUUUGAAUUUCGAGGGAGAAUCGAUAGCCUUGACGGGGGGCUGUUGCUUUGACAACCACUAUGACGCGAGGGUCUCUUGACCUGGAUUUAAUCCUGGCACAUUGGUUCCGGUAGCACGACCAUGUUAAGAUCAUUGUCAAAAACCAAAGCGGCAGGACAACGCUGCACCCUACGCUGCACUUGCGGACGCAUAGCAGCUGGUGGAAGAUGCUCGAGAACGCUGGUGGGCAAGCGGCGAAGGAUGAAGCCGUCAGAACAUGAUGGUUCGAUGUCAAGCGCCGAGAAGCGAGGAAAUGGGUCGACCUUCACUGCCGAUUGUCGGAAACCGCUCCUGAAUCCACAUAAGCAAUUCUUCAUUUUCUCAUCCUUGUUCUUAUCUAGAAUCUCAGAGAUUACCAAAUCAUGAUGCUGAUUAAUAGUUAAAAUUGAUCUUUUGCUGUUUAUUGAAAUUCCACCGUAAAGAGUUAGUAUCUGUUAAUAAAGACCCAUAUCUUGAAUCUA